rnacentral:rRNA from 1 species
UACGUAGGGUGCGAGCGUUAAUCGGAAUUACUGGGCGUAAAGCGUGCGCAGGCGGUUUUGUAAGCCAGAUGUGAAAGCCCCGGGCUUAACCUGGGAAUGGCAUUUGGGACUGCAAGGCUGGAGUGUGGCAGAGGAGACUGGAAUUCCUGGUGUAGCAGUGAAAUGCGUAGAUAUCAGGAGGAACACCGAUGGCGAAGGCAGGUCUCUGGGCUGACACUGACGCUCAUGCACGAAAGCGUGGGGAGCGAACAGG